rnacentral:misc_RNA from 1 species
GCAUCCUGUUUGAAUCCACUAUCUUGUUAAGCAUCUUCUAACAGUGGACCUACAGUUAUCUCGUGAAACGUGACAAAGAAACCGACGGAGUGAUGGACGCGUAACGCCGUGGUCUGACCGCAAGCUCGUUAUGCCUGUCGGAAGUAUAAAUCAACCGCAAAGUUAUUUCACCGUGCUGUCGGGAACUCCCCGUAGGGCGCCUCUCUGGAAACUGCUACCACCUUCUUCUUCGAGAUAUCGCGCAGGAAAUUCGGCUAAGGAAACGGAGGAAAGGCGGAAAGGCGAUAAUUAGGAGAAAACAGCAAGAAGAUAUUCUCAACUUCGAGAAACGAAUUUAUUCUUCGCGUAAUUUCUGCUCCAUAAUCGAGUUUAGCGAAGUAUUUCGCACUUAGCUCGAACAAUAAAUAAACGUUCCAACUCA